GCAGCGGUGGUCCUGUGGGAGAAUUCUUGCCUUCCAUACAAGGGACCCAGGGUUCGAUUCCCAGCCAAUGCA
rnacentral:tRNA from 1 species